rnacentral:rRNA from 1 species
GGACCCGCACAAGUAGUGGAGCAUGUGGUUUAAUUCGAAGAUACGCGCAGAACCUUACCAACACUUGACAUGUUCGUCGCGACUUUAAGAGAUUAAAGUUUUCGGUUCGGCCGGACGAAACACAGGUGCUGCAUGGCUGUCGUCAGCUCGUGUCGUGAGAUGUUGGGUUAAGUCCCGCAACGAGCGCAACCCUCACUUUUAGUUGCCAUCAGUUCGGCUGGGCACUCUAGGGAAACUGCCGGUGACAAGCCGGAGGAAGGUGGGGAUGACGUCAAGUCCUCAUGGCCCUUACGGGCUGGGCUACACACGUGCUACAAUGGCAAUGACAGAGGGAUGCAAAGGGGCGACCCUGAGCUAAUCUCCAAAAAUUGUCUCAGUUCGGAUUGUUCUCUGCAACUCGAGAGCAUGAAGGCGGAAUC